rnacentral:rRNA from 1 species
AGCGAACGCUGGCGGCAGGCCUAACACAUGCAAGUCGAGCGCCCGUAGCAAUACGGGAGCGGCAGACGGGAGAGUAACACGUGGGAACGUACCCUUCAGUUCGGAACAACCCAGGGAAACUUGGGCUAAUACCGAAUACGUCCGUAAGGAGAAAGAUUUAUCGCUGAGGGAUCGGCCCGCGUCUGAUUAGCUAGUUGGUGAGGUAACGGCUCACCAAGGCGACGAUCAGUAGCGGUCUGAGAGGAUGAUCAGCCUCACUGGGACUGAGACACGGCCCAGACUCCACGGGAGGCAGCAGUGGGGAAUAUUGGACAAUGGGCGCAAGCCUGAUCCAGCCAUGCCGCGUGGAUGAUGAAGGCCCUAGGGUUGUAAAGUCCUUUCGACGGGGGAAGAUAAUGACGGUACCCGUACG